GUGCCAGCAGCCGCGGUGAUACGUAGGGUGCGAGCGUUGUCCGGAAUUAUUGGGCGUAAAGAGCUUGUAGGCGGUUUGUCGCGUCGAUAGUGUAAACACGCAGCUUAACUGUGUGCCUGCUGUCGAUACGGGCUGACUAGAGGAGGGUAGGGGAGAAUGGAAUUCCCGGUGGAGCGGUGGAAUGCGCAGAUAUCGGGAGGAACACCAGUGGCGAAGGCGGUUCUCUGGACCUUUCCUGACGCUGAGAAGCGAAAGCGUGGGUAGCAAACAGGCUUAGAUACCCUUGUAGUCC
rnacentral:rRNA from 1 species